AACUUGCUGUUCUUGAUCUUAGUAGCAAUGACUUGAAUGGAAAUUUGCCAAGUGAAUUGGGCUUCUUGCAACUACUGAGACUUCUUAAUGUGACUAGGAAUUCUCUUGAUGGAACCAUUCCUCCGAACAUAAGUCGGUGCCGUUUACUGCAAGAAUUCCAUUUAUCAGAUAACAUGAACAAAGGAAGCAUACCUCAAGAACUUGGUCUUUUAAGCCAACUCAGACUUUUGCGUCUCAAUGACAAUAAUCUAACAGGCAAGAUUCCGUCUUUGUUAGGAAACUUACCAAAGAUGGAAUAUUUUUAUCUGCAUGAAAAUGAUUUGGAAGGUGAAAUACCUGAUGAAAUUGGCGAUCUUUCCAAGUUGAGGCUCCUUUCAUUUCGUGGAAAUAACUUCACUGGAUCGAUACCUGCUUCAAUUUUCAAUAUUUCGAGGUUGCAAAUUGUAAAUCUUUCCAUAAAUGCCUUCUUAGGGGAACUUCCAAGUUAUUUGGGUAAUUAUCUUCCUAUCCUUGAACAUCUUUUUCUGAAAAGCAACAGGAUCACUGGGAAAAUCCGGUUUCUUUAUCUAAUGCAUCGAAGAUUACUGAUCUUUUCUUCACUGAAAAUGAUCUGCAAGGAAAUAUUCCAAGUGAGUUUGGUAAGUUGCAUGACUUAGUCUGGUUUGAAUUUGAAUAUAAUCAAAUUUCUGGUGCCAUUCCUUCCUGCUUAUUCAAUAUUUCGUCGCUUGAAAUUCUCAAGGUCCGGCAUAAUUACUUAAAUGGACACCUUCCUCGUGAU
rnacentral:lncRNA from 1 species